UUUAUAAAUUUUAUUGUGACUUGUAUGAUUAUUACAAUCAUUCAGCUUCAUGUUAUAACUGCAUGCAGGCUGUUUGUUGCGACUUAUACUUUAAUUCAUAAACUAACAUGGUUUUAAUUAAGCUCCAUAAGACAGAGAGACUUUGAUAUUAUGUUUUGAGGUGGUUGUUGUUAUAACUUGUUCAUCAAUGAUUUUAUCUUCAACAUAUGUUUGCUGUCUAACUAAGCAAAUAAAGAUGAAAGAGGAAGCCAGAGAAAUCGGGUGCUAGAAAACCUAAAGACUUUCUGUCUCAGAAGAGGCUCUGGUUCCACCAGAUCACCAACCAGCUCUGAGGAUGAACCUCCACAUCGUCUUCAUGAUGGCCCUGUGAUGGACUGGUGACCUGUCUAGGGUGAACCUCUGCCUCUCAUCUGAUGACUGCUGGAGAUGGGCACCACCUGCCCCCGUCACCACCCUGCAAGGAUCACCAUGUUCAGAUCAUGGAUGGAAAGUUUUUAAGAUAAAGACACCCAGAAAUGUUUUUUUCACCCCAGGCAUCUGGUCUCAAUCAUCAUCAGUUCUGAUGUCACACACAUGGUGAGUCCACAACGUCUUGAAAUUGU